AAUAGAUACCCGGGUAGUCCACGCCGUAAACGAUGAGUGCUAGGUGUCGGGGGUUUCGACACCCGCGGUGCCGAAGUUAACACAGUAAGCACUCCGCCUGGGGAGUACGGUCGCAAGACUGAAACUCAAAGGAAUUGACGGGGACCCGCACAAGCAGUGGAGUAUGUGGUUUAAUUCGAAGCAACGCGAAGAACCUUACCAGGUCUUGACAUCCCUCUGAAUCCUCUAGAGAUAGAGGCGGCCCUUCGGGGACAGAGGAGACAGGUGGUGCAUGGUUGUCGUCAGCUCGUGUCGUGAGAUGUUGGGUUAAGUCCCGCAACGAGCGCAACCCUUGAUCUUAGUUGCCAGCACGUUAGGGUGGGCACUCUAGGAUGACUGCCGGUGACAAACCGGAGGAAGGCGGGGAUGACGUCAAAUCAUCAUGCCCCUUAUGACCUGGGCUACACACGUACUACAAUGGCCGGUACAACGGGCGGCGAGAGGGCGACCUUGAGCGAAUCCCUGAAAGCCGGUCUCAGUUCGGAUUGCAGGCUGC
rnacentral:rRNA from 1 species